UGCAGCUGAGCGGUAGAGGCCCUUCGGGGUCUUGAGAGCGGCGUACGGGUGCGGAACACGUGUGCAACCUGCCUUUAUCAGGGGGAUAGCCUUUCGAAAGGAAGAUUAAUACCCCAUAAUAUUUUGGAUGGCAUCAUUUAAAAUUGAAAACUGAGGUGGAUAAAGAUGGGCACGCGCAAGAUUAGAUAGUUGGUGAGGUAACGGCUCACCAAGUCGAUGAUCUUUAGGGGGCCUGAGAGGGUGAUCCCCCACACUGGUACUGAGACACGGACCAGACUCCUACGGGAGGCAGCAGUGAGGAAUAUUGGACAAUGGGUUAGCGCCUGAUCCAGCCAUCCCGCGUGAAGGACGACGGCCCUAUGGGUUGUAAACUUCUUUUGUACAGGGAUAAACCUAUCUACGUGUAGAUAGCUGAAGGUACUGUACGAAUAAGCACCGGCUAACUCCGUGCCAGCAGCCGCGGUAAUACGG
rnacentral:rRNA from 1 species